rnacentral:rRNA from 1 species
GCAAGUCGUGCGUGAAAGGGGAGCAAUCCCUGAGUAAAGCGGCGAACUGGUGAGUAACAGGUGGGUAACGUGCCCUGAAGUGGGGGAUAACACCGGGAAACCGGUGCUAAUACCGCAUGUGGCGUCAAGGACUCUGGUCCCUGCCGCUAAAGCAGCAGUGCGCUUCAGGAUCGGCCCGUCCCCGAUUAGCUUGUUGGUGAGGUAAUGGCUCACCAAGGCGACGAUCGGUAGCUGGUCUGAGAGGAUGGUCAGCCACACUGGAACUGAGAUACGGUCCAGACUCCUACGGGGGGCAGCAGUCUAGAGGCUUCGUCAAUGGGGGCAACCCUGAACGAGCGACGCCGCGUGUGGGAUUGAAGGCCUUCGGGUCGUAACCACUGUCAUUGGGGAAGAAUGCCUGGAUGGCGAAUCCGGGAGCGACGGUACCCGAGGAGGAAGCCCCGGCUAACUCCGUGCCAGCAGCCGCGGUAAUACGGAGGGGGCGAGCGUUGUUCGGAUUUACUGGGCGUAAAGGGUGUGUAGGCGGCUGGAUAAGUCUGGCGUGAAAUCUUCACCGCUUAACGGGAAGGGGUCGCUGGAAACUGUUCAGCUUGAGUAUGGUAGAGGCAAGCGGAAUUCCUGGUGUAGCGGUGGAAUGUGUAGAUAUCAGGAAGAACACCGGUGGCGAAGGCGGCUUGCUGGGCCAUCACUGACGCUGAAACACGAAGCGUGGGGAGCAAACGGGAUUAGAUACCCCGGUAGUCCACGCUGUAAACGGUGCGCACUAGGUGUGGGGGGUAUCGACCCCUCCCGUGCCGACUUUAACACAUUAAGUGCGCCGCCUGGGGAGUACGGCCGCAAGGU